rnacentral:tRNA from 3 species
UGUCUUAUGGUGUAAUGGUAGCACUGCAGUUUUUGGUUCUGCCUGUCCAGGUUCGAAUCCUGGUAAGACAACCA